AUACGGAGGGUGCAAGCGUUAUCCGGAUUUAUGGGGUUUAAAGGGUCCGUAGGCGGAUCUGUAAGUCAGUGGUGAAAUCUCAUAGCUUAACUAUGAAACUGCCAUUGAUACUGCAGGUCUUGAGUAAGGUAGAAGUAGCUGGAAUAAGUAGUGUAGCGGUGAAAUGCAUAGAUAUUACUUAGAACACCAAUUGCGAAGGCAGGUUACUAUGUCUUAACUGACGCUGAUGGACGAAAGCGUGGGGGGCGAACAGGAUUAGAAACCCGAGUAGUCC
rnacentral:rRNA from 1 species